CCUACGGGAGGCAGCAGUGGGGGAUAUUGCACAAUGGGGGAAACCCUGAUGCAGCGACGCCGCGUGGGUGAAAAAGCGCCUCGGCGCGUAAAGCCCUGUCAGCAGGGAAGAAAAUGACGGUACCUGAAGAAGAAGCCCCGGCUAACUACGUGCCAGCAGCCGCGGUAAUACGUAGGGGGCAAGCGCUAUGCGGAUGUACUGGGGGUAAAGGGGGCGCAGACGGCGAUGCAAGCCAGGAGUGAAAGCCCGGGGCCCAACCCCGGGACUGCGCUUGGAACUGGGUGGCUAGAGUGCAUGAGGGGCAGGCGGAAUUCCUGGUGUAGCGGUGAAAUGCGUAGAUAUCAGGAGGAACACCGGUGGCGAAGGCGGCCUGCUGGACUGCAACUGACGUUGAGGCCCGAAAGCGUGGGGAGCAAACAGGAUUAGAUACCCGGGUAGUC
rnacentral:rRNA from 1 species